rnacentral:lncRNA from 1 species
GGCUUUCUCUGCUUGAGCAUACCUCUUCGUCUGCUCCAACAUUUCGACAAGUCUUUUGGAUAUUUUUUGUAGAGUGAGAAGAGGAGGUCAUUUUGAAGAAGUCCAGUCUUUAGUGCGGUCAUUGCCAUGGAUUGGUCUAAGUUCCGCACUUCCAAGGUCGCAGCAUUAAGGUGAUUGACAUAGUUCUGAAGUGGCUUAUUCUCUUGCUACUUUGUGCUGACGAGG